GCGAGAAUGUCGGAAUUGGCAGACGAGCAAGACUAAGGAUCUUGUGAAGAGUAUUCUUCGUGAGGGUUCAAGUCCCUUUUCUCGCA
rnacentral:tRNA from 6 species